rnacentral:rRNA from 1 species
GAUGAACGCUGGCGGCGUGCCUAAUACAUGCCAGUCGAACGAAACUUCUUUAUCACCGAGUGCUUGCACUCACCGAUAAAGAGUUGAGUGGCGAACGGGUGAGUAACACGUGGGCAACCUGCCCAAAAGAGGGGGAUAACACUUGGAAACAGGUGCUAAUACCGCAUAACCAUAGUUACCGCAUGGUAACUAUGUAAAAGGUGGCUAUACUACCGCUUUUGGAUGGGCCCGCGGCGCAUUAGCUAGUUGGUAGGGUAAAGGCUUACCAAGGCAAUGAUGCGUAGCCGAAUUGAGAGGUUGAUCGGCCACAUUGGGACUGAGACACGGCCCAAACUCCUACGGGAGGCAGCAGUAGGGAAUCUUCCACAAUGGGCGAAAGCCUGAUGGAGCAACGCCGCGUGGGUGAAGAAGGUCUUCGGAUCGUAAAACCCUGUUGUUAGAGAAGAAAGUGCGUGAGAGUAACUGUUCACGUUUCGACGGUAUCUAACCGGAAAGCCACGGCUAACUACGUG